GUGGUUUCCAGGCCAAUGGAGUUAUGUCACCAGGAAGGUUAUGACUGCCUCUGCUGUGUCACACAGGUCAUGAGGGAAGUGAGGGAAAAUCAGCAGACAGGGGCCUCACCCAACUCCCACAUAGCCCACAGCCUGAAAAGCUGGUCUUUCUCCCACUGUGGCCCCUCAACAGCACUGAGUUUAUUUCCAGGCAGCCAGUGAGCAAGGCUGAGAACUUGCCCCAGGCUACCGGACUCCCAGCUGAGAAAGCAAGCCGACUCAACAGUUCCUCAGCUGUCCCACAGAGCCUGAAGCAGCAAUCCACCUACUUCAAAGGGUCUAUGGAUUCUCUCAGCUUUCCUGGCAUGUUCCUGUGGUGGAAAAUGCAAUCUGGAGUGUUCCUGGGGAGCUCUGCUGUGUAAACCUUGGCUUUACAGUGAGAAGACGGGCUGAUCACAGAUGUGAACCGUCAGGUAACCAGGGCUGCAGUGAGAGCCACAGAUUUCAUGGGAAGUGGAAGAGGAGAUGGAAAGAGAGUCUUGCUGUGUCACCCAGGCUGGAAUGCAGUGUCACGAUCUCAGCUCCCUGCAACCUCUGCUUCCUGGGUUCAAGCGAUUCUCCUGCCUCAGUCUCCUGAGUAGCUGGGAUCACAG